UCAACCUGGGAACUACAUUUGUGACUGCAUUGCUGGAGUGCGGCAGAGGGGGAUGGAAUUCCGCGUGUAGCAGUGAAAUGCGUAGAUAUGCGGAGGAACACCGAUGGCGAAGGCAAUCCCCUGGGCCUGCACUGACGCUCAUGCACGAAAGCGUGGGGAGCAAACAGGAUUAGAUACCCUGGUAGUCCACGCCCUAAACGAUGUCAACUGGUUGUUGGGUCUUCAUUGACUCAGUAACGAAGCUAACGCGUGAAGUUGACCGCCUGGGGA
rnacentral:rRNA from 1 species